UACGAAGGGGGCUAGCGUUGUUCGGAAUUACUGGGCGUAAAGCGCGCGCAGGCGGCUAUCCAAGUCAGUGGUGAAAGCCCGGAGCUCAACUCCGGAACUGCCAUUGAAACUGUUUAGCUUGAGGAUGAGAGAGGUGAGUGGAAUUCCCAGUGUAGAGGUGAAAUUCGUAGAUAUUGGGAAGAACACCGGUGGCGAAGGCGGCUCACUGGCUCAUUACUGACGCUGAGGCACGAAAGCUAGGGGAGCAAACAGG
rnacentral:rRNA from 1 species